UACGGAGGGUGCAAGCGUUAUCCGGAUUCACUGGGUUUAAAGGGCGCGUAGGCGGCCUGCUAAGUCGAACGUGAAAUCCCCGAGCUCAACUCGGGAACUGCGUCCGAUACUGGCAGGCUUGAAUCCGGGAGAGGGAUGCGGAAUUCCAGGUGUAGCGGUGAAAUUCGUAGAUAUCGGGAGGAACACCAGUGGCGAAGGCGGCGAUCUGGGAAGAUACUGACGCUGAGGUGCGAAAGCGUGGGGAGCAAACAGG
rnacentral:rRNA from 1 species